rnacentral:rRNA from 1 species
UACGUAGGGCGCAAGCGUUGUCCGGAAUUAUUGGGCGUAAAGAGCUCGUAGGCAGCUUGUCACGUCGAUUGUGAAAGCCCGAGGCUUAACCUCGGGUCUGCAGUCGAUACGGGCUAGCUAGAGUGUGGUAGGGGAGAUCGGAAUUCCUGGUGUAGCGGUGAAAUGCGCAGAUAUCAGGAGGAACACCGGUGGCGAAGGCGGAUCUCUGGGCCAUUACUGACGCUGAGGAGCGAAAGCGUGGGGAGCGAACAGG